UAGAUUCAUAAUUUGUUUUAUUUAUUACUGUUAUUUCUAUUGAAAAAAGUUUAUUAACUGUUUAGAAGUCGUUAUUUUUCUUGUCAAUUAACUAACUUGUUUUCUUCUUGAGAAUACUUUGCAGGUUGUACCACUUCAGCAUUCCGUGAAGAUGCCUCGGAAAGGUAGGAGAUCCCGUGCUCAAAAAGUUCGUUGGACAAAGUUAGACCUGACAGGACAGACGAGCGUCAGUAAAGGUGUUGCUCAGGUUUCUGAUGGACAGCAGUAUGAAGAUGGUGACAAAACAUCUAGAAUGCUAUCCCUGCAGGCGUCUCAUUGCCAGAGUGAUGCAAGUUGCAGGAAGAUUUUGGAGACCAUAGCAGUCCUGUGCAACACUGGAUAUGAGUGUGCAAUAUACCAUCUAAAGGAACCGGUGAGUCAGAAUGUCUGAGAAGAUCAAGUGUGCUUCACCACUGAUGAUGAUGAGCUGGAUACCAGCUUAUGGGCUAAUUUCUUUCAUUCAUUGCCAGAGGACGGGACCAGAUGUGUUUGGAGUUGAAGACAUUGCUGAAGACCAAAGAAGCAACGGAAGAAGCACAUUAAAGCACUGAGG